rnacentral:lncRNA from 1 species
AAUUUUUAAAUUUAACAUAUUAGUAUAAUUUACUUUAUAUUUGGUUUAUUUCAUUUAAUUUUGUUAAUUUAUUUUAAUUUUUUAAUUUUUAUUAAAUAUAGUUAACUUUUUAUUUUGUUUAUUAGUUUAACAUAUUGUUGUAUUGGAAAAUAUUAGUUAAAUUCAUAUUGGAAACCUUUAUAUAAUUUUGGGUUUUUUUUUUUUUUACCUUUUUAUACGUUUUUAAAAAAUGAUAAUUCAUGUUUCGUUCCUACCUAUCUCGUUUAUGUUGGAAACUUUUGUGAGACAUAAAUUACUGUAGAUAGAUUUAUA